CCUCAACCAUCCGCCAGGGGACUACGAGCACCAGCUUAAAACCCAAAGGACUUGGCGGUGCUUAAGACCCCCCUAGAGGAGCCUGUUCUAGAACCGAUACCCCCCGUUAAACCUCACCCCUCCUUGUUAAGACCGCCUAUAUACCGCCGUCGUCAGCUUACCCUGUGAAGGCUAGAUAGUAAGCAGAAUCAGCAAACCCCAAAACGUCAGGUCGAGGUGUAGCGAAUGGAGGGGGAAGAAAUGGGCUACAUUCCUUACUUGUAAGGAAAACGAAAGAUAUAGUGAAAUAUAUAUCAGAAGGAGGAUUUAGCAGUAAGUGGGAAUCAGAGAGUUCCACUGAAGCCGGCCCUAAAGCGCGCACACAC
rnacentral:rRNA from 1 species